rnacentral:lncRNA from 1 species
CACGACAUUGAAUGCUACAUCAAAUGAGAUUUAGAUGACAUGUUAACUAUGAUGAUAUAUGAUGAUGAGAUGUCGAUAACCAUCCGCACCUCAUAAUCAUAAAUAUCAUGGCAAUCUGGAAAAACGAAAAAUGAUGAAGUACUUUUCAUCUUCGCACAAUCAAAAUAAAGACUCAUAUAAUAUUAAAAUUUAUCCCAUAUUCGUAUAUAAAUCAAAUAAUCUGAUUGAUUGAUUGAUCGAUCGAUCGAUCCACCGUCCUCACCAGCGACGCAGAGAUUGGAGGCUUGGCCGAAUGCUGUCGGGUCCUUGUGACAACUUUUGUUGCUCCGCUCGUACUUCACCUUAGCCAAUAAAUAAAUAAAUAAACAAAAGUAGGCGAAAGCUCUACUCGAGGACAGAUGAUUGACGAUUCCUAGGCUCACACUCCUCGUCUGGAACACUGCGGGGAGGGCAACCAGUCCAAUUGGACCCCCCGAAUCAGCACGACCCGCGGCUUUACAGAAGGUCACGAGCUGGGGUUGCCACUUCCGGCCAUUACUCGUCCGACACGCAUCCACGAACCGCCGACGAACUCGGCUGCGGAUCCGGCGGAGCGUCGGCUCCACCCACUACAACCGGUUCAAAAGGGAGCGUUCCACAUGCCCCACCUUCUUUGCUUUUGUCUUGAGAUAAAAAAUGUUGUCGAACGGUUGGUUCAACCAGGAAAUGAUGAAAUAUUGCUUCGUAUCAUGUUGUUUUUCCCAUCACACUGUGCACGGCGAAGUUCUAGCGACAGAAGAAUCAGUGAGGCAAUUGGUCAAACACCUGGGAGGCACGGGCGAGAAGCGGAGUCCGAGUCCCGCUCCUGAGCUCCAUCUUAGUCAAAAAGGAUCCGCGGAUUCGCCUGCAAAAGAGACUCGAAGCUUUUGGCGAAACAUACCCCCAUCUUAGGUGGAUCGAUAGAGCAGAGCAAAUUGCGCCGAGGCCACGUUGUUCUGUCGAACGAGUCCGCUGCACCGGGCGAGUACUGAGGCAGCACUGGCUCCCCCCCUGACACGACCGAGUCCUACCCAGCUUGGCCAAUCCCAUUCUCGAAUCAGCUGGUGAUCAAGUAAAAUGACAAAUCUAUCCUCCUGCUUCGACUUUCUUUAGCUGUUCGGGGGUGACCUU